rnacentral:lncRNA from 10 species
GUCCGCGGAUCGGCGCUGCGAGCCCCGCGGCUGCCUGCGGGACACCUGAGCGCGGAGGGUGCGGCACCUUGGCACCUUGACCCUGUGGCAGGGACAUCUCGGCCCAGGAAAGAAUGAGGUUUAGGCACGGCCUAACCACCUAAGUGAGGGCACUGAAGCUGCCGGGGGAAGGGCAAGGUCCGCGUUGCAGAGCCCAAGCCCAGUGGCGCAGGAUUUGUUUUGGUCUCAGUUUGCUUCAUCUCUGGAAUGGAGAUGGUUUCCUAUGUGAUCAUGAAAAUUUCUCCCAGCUCUGAAGACCUUUUAUUUUCAUCCCCCAUGAAGUGGCGCUGAAAGAUCACGAUAGCACAGUUCCAUGAUGUGAAAUACCACAAGUCUGCAAUUUUUCGGUCUUGAGAGUGUCGCUGGGCUGAGAGGAUGGAAAUCUUUCAGUAAUUAUACCAGUUUGUAUUCGUCUCACAUUUGGGACCAAAUACAAAUCCGAUCCACUCUUUCUCCCUGUGAAUAUUCAUAAAAAACAAAGUGCCAAUUCUGGUCUAAUCAUGUAUGGAACCAAAUAUGUUGAUGAGUCCUAAGUAUAUACUGUAUGUAUGUAUACAUAUGAAUAUAUAUAUUUGUACACACUAA